AGGCAGUGUAGUUAGCUGAUUGGACCAUCCCGCCCGCAAUCACUAACUCCACUGCCAUC
rnacentral:pre_miRNA from 1 species